UAUGAAAAUUCUCUCUACGAAUGAUCACUCGCAUUGAAAACAAUCGACUGUACUAUUCACCCAACAACCCCCUCAUCAUGAAAAUCUCCGUUAUUUUUGUGUUCCUGGCGAUGAUGUUGGCGGCUGUUGCCGGAGAGGUUUGCAAAGGACGCGGCAUUGGAUGUUCGAGAGAUCGACAGUGUUGCUCGGGUUUCUGCCGCCGUACAAAAUGUGCCUAAGGAUAUGCCGGAUAAAAUGUCCUGAUGUAACCGAGAUAGGCAGAAGUAUCAUUUCUCAAGGAUCUUUUCAAGACACAAUAUCGUUAUGACUAUUCUAUCUAUAAAUUAUACCCCCAAUCUCUAUUGAUUUGUAACGGAUUAUUGAUCUGAAAUACACGUAUUGAGGCAUAUCAAA